UCGGGAAUAUUGGACAAUGGGCGAAAGCCUGAUCCAGCCAUGCCGCGUGUGUGAAGAAGGCCUUUUGGUUGUAAAGCACUUUAAGCGAGGAGGAGGCUACUUAGAUUAAUACUCUAGGAUAGUGGACGUUACUCGCAGAAUAAGCACCGGCUAACUCUGUGCCAGCAGCCGCGGUAAUACAGAGGGUGCGAGCGUUAAUCGGAUUUACUGGGCGUAAAGCGUGCGUAGGCGGCUUCUUAAGUCGGAUGUGAAAUCCCUGAGCUUAACUUAGGAAUUGCAUUCGAUACUGGGAAGCUAGAGUAUGGGAGAGGAUGGUAGAAUUCCAGGUGUAGCGGCGAAAUGCGUAGAGAUCUGGAGGAAUACCGAUGGCGAAGGCAGCCAUCUGGCCUAAUACUGACGCUGAGGUACGAAAGCAUGGGGAGCAAACAGG
rnacentral:rRNA from 1 species